rnacentral:rRNA from 1 species
GGAUUAGAUACCCUGGUAGUCCAUGCCGUAAACGUUAGGCACUAGGUGUGGGGGACAUCCCACGUUCUCCGCGCCGUAGCUAACGCAUUAAGUGCCCCGCCUGGGGAGUACGGUCGCAAGGCUAAAACUCAAAGGAAUUGACGGGGGCCCGCACAAGCGGCGGAGCAUGCGGAUUAAUUCGAUGCAACGCGAAGAACCUUACCAAGGCUUGACAUACACCGGACCGGGCUGGAAACAGUCUUUCCCUUUUUGGGCUGGUGUACAGGUGGUGCAUGGUUGUCGUCAGCUCGUGCUG